GGGCCCUACGGGGCGCAGCAGUGGGGAAUAUUGCACAAUGGGGGAAACCCUGAUGCAGCGACGCCGCGUGAGUGAAGAAGUAUCUCGGUACGUAAAGCUCUAUCAGCAGGGAAGAAAAAAAGUCUUUGGCUUUGGACGGUACCUGACUAAGAAGCCCCGGCUAACUACGUGCCAGCAGCCGCGGUAAUACGCAGGGGGCAAGCGUUAUCCGGAUCUACUGGGUGUAAAGGGAGCGUAGACGGCAGCGCAAGUCAGCGGUAAAAUCGUGGGGCCCAACCCCAUCCCGCCGUUGAAACUGGCGGUCU
rnacentral:rRNA from 1 species